AAAAAAUUGAGAUUUUGUGCAAGCAUUUACAUUUAUGAAAUUGUGGUUUUUUUUUUCCCUUUUUCCGCAGGAGUUAGAGGUCACUAUCCUAUUUUAAAUUUUAACUAACUAUUUUUCUAUAGUUACUAACUGAUUUCUAGCCACCACUCCUGACUCAACCAAAUGUACGAGUUGCCACGUGUCGCCUAGCCCAAUCAAAAUUGACCACCCGUCCCCGUGAAACCAAAAAAUACUUUUAUGUCCAACGUAAAACAUACCAUCUGCCAUCCUAU
rnacentral:misc_RNA from 1 species